rnacentral:rRNA from 1 species
GAUGAGCGCUGGCGGCGUGCCUAAUACAUGCAAGUCGAGCGGUAAGGCCCCUUCGGGGGUACACGAGCGGCGGACGGCUGAGUAACACGUAGGAACGUACCCCAAAGUGAGGGAUAACUGCUCGAAAGAGUAGCUAAUACCGCAUGUGAUCCACGGAUUAAAGCUUUAUGCGCUUUGGGAACGGCCUGCGCCCGAUUAGCUUGUUGGUGAGGUAAUAGCUCACCAAGGCGAUGAUCGGUAGCUGGUCUGAGAGGAUGAUCAGCCAGACUGGGACUGAGACACGGCCCAGACUCCUACGGGAGGCAGCAGUAGGGAAUUUUCCACAAUGGGCGAAAGCCUGAUGGAGCAACGCCGCGUGCAGGAUGAAUGCCUUAGGGUUGUAAACUGCUUUUAAUAGUGACGAUUAUGACGGUAGCUAUUGAAUAAGGACCUGCUAACUACGUGCCAGCAGCCGCGGUAA